AAGGCACAGAUCCAUUUCACUGAUAAGGGUGCUCAAGUCAAACACCCUGAUGGGAGGGCUAUUGGAGUGUUUUUGACAAUGCCUUUGGAGGAAGAAUACCACCUCGAUGAACAAGAGCGGUCCUCCAUCAAAUGUGCAGACAUGCAGAUCUGGCUCCAACAAUUCCCCACUGCGUGGGCCGAGACAGGGGGAAUGGGGUUGGCCAAACAUAGACCCCUCAGUCUAUGUGGAACUUAAGACCAAUGCAGACCCAGUGAAGGUCCGCCAGUACGCCAUGACCCUGGAAGCCAAAAAGGGAAUCACCCCCCAUGUGAGACGACUCCUACAAGAGGGAGUCUUGCGGCCCAUUCAGUCUGCAUGGAACACACCGCUCCUACCGGUUAAAAAGCCACAGACGAAUGACUACCGCCCUGUCCAAGACCUUCGAGAAGUUAACAAAAGGGUAAUGGACAUUCACCCCACUGUGCCCAAUCCCUAUACUUUACUAAGUAUGCUCCCUACACAUAAAGAAUGGUAUACUGUCCUAUAUUUAAAAGAUGCCUUCUUUAGUCUCCCACUUGCACCAAACAGCCAAGGUUAUUUCGCCGUUGAGUGGUAUGACCCAGACAUUGAAAUAAGUGGGCAACUGACUUGGACGAGACUGCCACAAGGAUUCAAGAACUCACCCACCAUAUGUGAUGAGGCUCUCCAUGAGGAUCUGGGUGAGUACCGCUCCUAGCACCCCCAUGUCUCUCUUCUACCAUACGUAGAUGAUAUACUAAUAGCCACAGGUCAGAGGAGGAAUGCCUUAGCGAAACUGAAGAUCUUCUAAGGACACUGGGGACAUUGGGCUAUUGGGCCUCAGCUAAAAAGGCCCAGAUCUACAAGAAACAGUUUCGAGCCUGGAGACUGGGUCCUGAUCCAGAGGCAUCAACACAAGUCCCUGGAGCCGUGGUGGAAAGGACCCUACCUCGUCAUCUUGACCACCCCAACGGCUCUCAAGGUGGACGGCAUCUCCACUUGGAUCCACCACACCCACGCCCGACCUGUGGUUCCUGCAGCUGAGGAACAUCCAGCCGGAACCUGGAGAGUGUCCAAGCAUCCUACUGAUCCCUUGAAGUUAAAGCUACUACUACAGUAUAUGAGACCAAGACUAGGCACCAUACAACUCAUGGUGCAACGGGGUUAUACUCAAGUCAGGACCACCGAGUACGAGUCAUAUGCAGACCCCGAAGUGAGGACAUGGGAAUCUCAUGAACUAGAACAAGUUAGGGGCCCAUGAUUGAGCCCCUCUAGGGCCAAGAGAAGGAGGGAAUGAGAGACCCCCACCCCAGUUCCCCCUAAGGCCCGGAGAGCUGAGGAAAGGGACAUCUUAAAAUAGCCAGAACCAAGUCAGUUCCCCAUUCCCAGACAGGGUAAAGUCAUAAGUUUUAAAAGUACAAUACCAGACUGUCUGGUGGUAGCUAACCACGAGACGCCCCCCUCCCCUGAGAUAACAUGACCAAAUUUUGGAGAUGGGCUGUUAAACUCCUGACAGAGCAAAAAAUAAGAUAAAAGUCCAAACUCAGGAAAACUGGACCAAUCAAGGGUGGACCCGUACUAACCCCCUCCUCUCUGAAGAAUUCUGUGGUUUUGCCUUCAAAAGCUAAUCUCCCCAAGAAAGAGGGACUCUCCUCCCUGCCUCGCUGCGCCGGGCACUGCGGACGAGGGUUCCUUGCUAGCUCGUAUUGCGCCAAGAAGUAAACCUUGCUAUUGCAUUCUGGA